GGAAUGUGUUUCAGUGGUAGAACACAUGUUUAACAUGCACAAGCCCUGGGUUCAAUUCCCAUCACCG
rnacentral:tRNA from 1 species